UACGUAGGGUGCAAGCGUUGUUCGGAAUUACUGGGCGUAAAGGGCUCGUAGGCGGCCCACUAAGUCCGACGUGAAAUCCCCAGGCUUAACUUGGGAACUGCGUCGGAUACUGGUGGGCUUGAAUCCGGGAGAGGGAUGCGGAAUUCCAGGUGUAGCGGUGAAAUGCGUAGAUAUCUGGAGGAACACCGGUGGCGAAGGCAGCCCCCUGGGCUAACACUGACGCUCAUGCACGAAAGCGUGGGGAGCAAACAGG
rnacentral:rRNA from 1 species